GGGUUGUGAGGUUAAGCGACUAAGCGUACACGGUGGAUGCCCUGGCAGUCAGAGGCGAUGAAGGACGUGCUAAUCUGCGAUAAGCGUCGGUAAGGUGAUAUGAACCGUUAUAACCGGCGAUUUCCGAAUGGGGAAACCCAGUGUGAUUCGUCACACUAUCAUUAACUGAAUCCAUAGGUUAAUGAGGCGAACCGGGGGAACUGAAACAUCUAAGUACCCCGAGGAAAAGAAAUCAACCGAGAUUCCCCCAGUAGCGGCGAGCGAACGGGGAGCAGCCCAGAGCCUGAAUCAGUGUGUGUGUUAGUGGAAGCGUCUGGAAAGGCGCGCGAUACAGGGUGACAGCCCCGUACACAAAAAUGCACAUGCUGUGAGCUCGAUGAGUAGGGCGGGACACGUGGUAUCCUGUCUGAAUAUGGGGGGACCAUCCUCCAAGGCUAAAUACUCCUGACUGACCGAUAGUGAACCAGUACCGUGAGGGAAAGGCGAAAAGAACCCCGGCGAGGGGAGUGAAAAAGAACCUGAAACCGUGUACGUACAAGCAGUGGGAGCACGCUUAGGCGUGUGACUGCGUACCUUUUGUAUAAUGGGUCAGCGACUUAUAUUCUGUAGCAAGGUUAACCGAAUAGGGGAGCCGAAGGGAAACCGAGUCUUAACUGGGCGUUAAGUUGCAGGGUAUAGACCCGAAACCCGGUGAUCUAGCCAUGGGCAGGUUGAAGGUUGGGUAACACUAACUGGAGGACCGAACCGACUAAUGUUGAAAAAUUAGCGGAUGACUUGUGGCUGGGGGUGAAAGGCCAAUCAAACCGGGAGAUAGCUGGUUCUCCCCGAAAGCUAUUUAGGUAGCGCCUCGUGAAUUCAUCUCCGGGGGUAGAGCACUGUUUCGGCAAGGGGGUCAUCCCGACUUACCAACCCGAUGCAAACUGCGAAUACCGGAGAAUGUUAUCACGGGAGACACACGGCGGGUGCUAACGUCCGUCGUGAAGAGGGAAACAACCCAGACCGCCAGCUAAGGUCCCAAAGUCAUGGUUAAGUGGGAAACGAUGUGGGAAGGCCCAGACAGCCAGGAUGUUGGCUUAGAAGCAGCCAUCAUUUAAAGAAAGCGUAAUAGCUCACUGGUCGAGUCGGCCUGCGCGGAAGAUGUAACGGGGCUAAACCAUGCACCGAAGCUGCGGCAGCGACGCUGAUGCGUUGUUGGGUAGGGGAGCGUUCUGUAAGCCUGCGAAGGUGUGCUGUGAGGCAUGCUGGAGGUAUCAGAAGUGCGAAUGCUGACAUAAGUAACGAUAAAGCGGGUGAAAAGCCCGCUCGCCGGAAGACCAAGGGUUCCUGUCCAACGUUAAUCGGGGCAGGGUGAGUCGACCCCUAAGGCGAGGCCGAAAGGCGUAGUCGAUGGGAAACAGGUUAAUAUUCCUGUACUUGGUGUUACUGCGAAGGGGGGACGGAGAAGGCUAUGUUGGCCGGGCGACGGUUGUCCCGGUUUAAGCGUGUAGGCUGGUUUUCCAGGCAAAUCCGGAAAAUCAAGGCUGAGGCGUGAUGACGAGGCACUACGGUGCUGAAGCAACAAAUGCCCUGCUUCCAGGAAAAGCCUCUAAGCAUCAGGUAACAUCAAAUCGUACCCCAAACCGACACAGGUGGUCAGGUAGAGAAUACCAAGGCGCUUGAGAGAACUCGGGUGAAGGAACUAGGCAAAAUGGUGCCGUAACUUCGGGAGAAGGCACGCUGAUAUGUAGGUGAAGUCCCUUGCGGAUGGAGCUGAAAUCAGUCGAAGAUACCAGCUGGCUGCAACUGUUUAUUAAAAACACAGCACUGUGCAAACACGAAAGUGGACGUAUACGGUGUGACGCCUGCCCGGUGCCGGAAGGUUAAUUGAUGGGGUUAGCGCAAGCGAAGCUCUUGAUCGAAGCCCCGGUAAACGGCGGCCGUAACUAUAACGGUCCUAAGGUAGCGAAAUUCCUUGUCGGGUAAGUUCCGACCUGCACGAAUGGCGUAAUGAUGGCCAGGCUGUCUCCACCCGAGACUCAGUGAAAUUGAACUCGCUGUGAAGAUGCAGUGUACCCGCGGCAAGACGGAAAGACCCCGUGAACCUUUACUAUAGCUUGACACUGAACAUUGAGCCUUGAUGUGUAGGAUAGGUGGGAGGCUUGGAAGUGUGGACGCCAGUCUGCAUGGAGCCGACCUUGAAAUACCACCCUUUAAUGUUUGAUGUUCUAACGUUGACCCGUAAUCCGGGUUGCGGACAGUGUCUGGUGGGUAGUUUGACUGGGGCGGUCUCCUCCUAAAGAGUAACGGAGGAGCACGAAGGUUGGCUAAUCCUGGUCGGACAUCAGGAGGUUAGUGCAAUGGCAUAAGCCAGCUUGACUGCGAGCGUGACGGCGCGAGCAGGUGCGAAAGCAGGUCAUAGUGAUCCGGUGGUUCUGAAUGGAAGGGCCAUCGCUCAACGGAUAAAAGGUACUCCGGGGAUAACAGGCUGAUACCGCCCAAGAGUUCAUAUCGACGGCGGUGUUUGGCACCUCGAUGUCGGCUCAUCACAUCCUGGGGCUGAAGUAGGUCCCAAGGGUAUGGCUGUUCGCCAUUUAAAGUGGUACGCGAGCUGGGUUUAGAACGUCGUGAGACAGUUCGGUCCCUAUCUGCCGUGGGCGCUGGAGAACUGAGGGGGGCUGCUCCUAGUACGAGAGGACCGGAGUGGACGCAUCACUGGUGUUCGGGUUGUCAUGCCAAUGGCACUGCCCGGUAGCUAAAUGCGGAAGAGAUAAGUGCUGAAAGCAUCUAAGCACGAAACUUGCCCCGAGAUGAGUUCUCCCUGACUCCUUGAGAGUCCUGAAGGAACGUUGAAGACGACGACGUUGAUAGGCCGGGUGUGUAAGCGCAGCGAUGCGUUGAGCUAACCGGUACUAAUGAACCGUGAGGCUUAACCUUACAACGCCGAAGCUGUU
rnacentral:rRNA from 1 species